rnacentral:rRNA from 1 species
UAACACGUGGAUAACCUACCUAUAAGACUGGGAUAACUUCGGGAAACCGGAGCUAAUACCGGAUGAUAUUUUGAACCGCAUGGUUCAAAAGUGAAAGACGGUCUUGCUGUCACUUAUAGAUGGAUCCGCGCUGCAUUAGCUAGUUGGUAAGGUAACGGCUUACCAAGGCAACGAUGCAUAGCCGACUUGAGAGGGUGAUCGGCCACACUGGAACUGAGACACGGUCCAG